rnacentral:rRNA from 1 species
GAGUUUGAUCCUGGCUCAGGACGAACGCUGGCGGUGUGCUUAACACAUGCAAGUGGUGCGACGAACCAGAGCUUGCUCUGGGGCAAAGCCGCGAACGGGUGAGUAACACGUGGGUAAUCUACCCCGAUGACUGGGACAACCCGGAGGAAACUCGGGCUAAUACCGGAUGUGGUACGGAAACAUAAGUUUCUUACGUAAAGGUAGCUUCGGCUUCCGCAUUGGGAGGGGCCCCGCGGCCCAUUAGCUAGUUGGUGGGGUCAAGGCCUACCAAGGCAACGAUGGUAGCUGGUCUGAGAGGACGAUCAGCCACACUGGGACUGAGACACGGCCCAGACUCCUACGGGAGGCAGCAGUGGGGAAUCUUGCGCAAUGCGUG